CACGAUUCUGUGAGAAAUGUCCUUUGCUUGGCAUGAAGAAACAGUGGGAGCCUAUAUUCAGUGGGCCUGUUGUGAAUCUCAUCAACUAUGGCUGAAAAACACAUUGUGCUUCAUUAGGUUCCCAAGACAAGGCUAACAGAAGGCUAACACAUAGUUGAGGUUUGUAAUCUUAUCUUUUAGGACAGAAUUACAAUUGCAAACAAGGCUGAGCCACUCAGGGGCAUUUUGUGUUUUGAAGAUUUGGGUGUGCCAAAUAGACACAAAAUUACCUGAAGACAAACACGUCUUUGCAUAUUUAUAAUCAGUAAGCAAAAGUCUUACACUUUUGGACUAUUGUUAAUUUCAUGAUCAGCACAAUCCUCUCUCUGCUAACGAUGGAUCUAUUGAACGUUUGCUAAACGAGGUGUUUU
rnacentral:lncRNA from 1 species